GCCUUGGUAGCUCAGUUGGUAGAGCGUAAGACUCUUACAGUCCCUCCUUACAGUCCCUCUGACCGGGUAAGAGUGUUAAGGUCGUGGGUUCGAUUCUCGUCUGAGGCA